rnacentral:rRNA from 1 species
AUGUGGGACAAAUCUUCAAAUACAAGGAAAAUAACUUCUACAUCCACACCAACUUCUCUUUCCGUUGAGGUUGAGAGCAAUCUGCAGCUAACACUAGUGCAAAGACAUGGCGUUGAUGACGAAGCUCCGCAACUGGAGAGGGAGACAACUCCAACUGUAGAAGAUGAUGAAGCGGUCGAUGCAGAUGAUGAAUCAAUGCCCCAAUUUGAAGCAGAUUUGGCAGCUCUGGAACGUGAUCCCGGCAAGCGACUUCCCAUAUCUUCGUAUCAUGCCAAUGACCAAGAUAGAGUUAGAAGGAGAUACAUUGACUUGGGUGCUUGUCAACCAAAGGAUCAUAAGUUUGAGAUCAGAGAUUUUAGUGGACAUCCCCAUUGCUUUUGCCCUACUUGGUUUAAGGAUCAUAAGUGGCUUGAGUAUAGUGUGCAAGAAGAUGCUGCUUUCUGCUUUGUUUGCUACUUGUUCAAGGAUAAAACAAAAAGUCCUGGAGAAGAUGCAUUUGUGAACGGUGGGUUUAAUAAUUGGAAAUUGAAAGCUAGAUUGAAGAGGCAUAUUGGUGCUGUUAGUAGUGCUCACGUUGAAGCUCAAGAAAAGUAUGAUAUGUUCACUACACCUACAACAUCAAUUAGGGAGUCCAUUGCUUCAAACACCACACAGUAAAAGGUUCUAUAUAAGCUCUAUGUGACAUGGACACUCAAGUGUUUAAGAUUCCUAUUGCACCAAGGUUUGGCAUUUAGAGGACAUGAUGAAAGUGACGACUCACUAAAUAAAGGAAAUUUCCUUGUGCUUUUAAAUUGGCUAGCAGGAAACUUUGAAGAGGUUGAUAGGGUGGUUCUAAAGAAUGCUCCGCAAAAUUGUAAGAUGACUUGCCAUGAUAUACAACAAGAGUUGAUCAAAUGUUGUGCCCAGCUGACUACUAAACUAGUCAUUGAAGAUCUUGAUGGCGGUCAUUUUGCAGUACUUGCAGAUGAGUCUAGUGAUAUGUACCAGAAUGAACAACUAGUUGUUUGCUUGCGUUAUGUGGAUAAGAAAGGAAGGACAGUUGUGAGAUUUCUUGGUCUUGCCCAUGUUGAAGACACUUCCUCUUUGACACUUAAAGCUGCAAUUGAGGACAUGCUUAUGACAUACAAUUUGAGCUUUGCAAUGGUCCGUGGGCAAGGAUAUGAUGGGGCUAGUAAUAUGAAAGGUAAUGCUAAUGGCCUGAAGAAACUAAUUAUGGAUGAGUCUCCUCGUGCCUAUUAUGUCCAUUGCUUUACCCAUCAACUACAAUUAACUCUUGUUGCUGUUGCAAAGGAGAGUGGUGAUUGUAAUUGGUUCUUUCAACAGCUGGCAUGUUUGCUAAAUGUUCUAGGCUUUUCUUGUAAAAAGAUGAGAAUGCUUCAAAUAGUUCAAGUGGAGGAACUUAUUGUUGCAUUAGAGUUGGAAGAAGUAGAAACCGGGACGGGUUUGAAUCAAGAAAUGGGUAUUGGAAGGCCAUGUGAUACUCAUUGGGGCUCUCACUACAAGACUGUCAACCAUGUUAUCUCUAUGUAUCCGGCAAUAAGGCGUGUUCUAAUAAGGAUUGCAAAAGAGUAUAAUGGCACAGAGGCAGUAGCAGCAAUGACUAUGUUGACAUCAUUUCGGACAUUUGAAUUUGUUUUCAUGGCACACUUGAUGCAAGAAAUAUUUGAAUACACCGAUGACUUGAGUAGAGCUUUGCAAAAGAAAGAUCAAGAUAUUGUUAAUGCUAUGGAGAUUGUUGAUCUCACAAAGCUGCACUUGCAAUGCUUGCGAGAAGAUGAAGGGUGGAAUGAUUUUCUUGAAAAUGUCACUUUUUGUGUAAAGCACAAGAUCAAAGUUGUUGACAUGGAGGCUCCUUACUAUCCUGCUGGGAGACCAAGAAGAGGGUUCUUCAAUGGCGCAAAGAAUUACCAACGUUUCAAGGUUGAAAUGUUUGUGGGUGUCAUUGAUAGGCAACUUCAAGAGCUGAAUGCAAGAUUUGAUGGGGUAAACACUGAACUACUUACUUGCAUGGCAGCAUUCAGUCCACGUAAUUCAUUUGCUGCUUAUGAUAAAGAGAAGUUGGUUAGGCUUGCUAGAAAGUUUUAUGCUAAGGAUUUCACAAAUGAUGAAUUGUCAAGACUUCCAUGGCAAUUAAGCAUGUUCAUUUCUCAUGUGCGUAAGGAUAAAAGGUUUAGCAAGUUGAAGAAUCUAUGUGAGCUUUCAGAUUUGAUGGUUGAGACAAGAAAGGAUGAACAAUAUUAUAUUGUUUACAAACUUCUUAAGUUGGUUCUCAUUCUUCCUGUAGCCACUUCUAGCAUUGAGAGGGUAUUUUCCUCGAUGAAAUACGUGAAGAAUUCACUAAGAAACAAAAUGGGUGAUGAAUAUUUGAACAAUUGCUUGGUUACAUUCGUUGAGAGAGAAUUCUUCGGCAAGUGA